UCGGAGUGCUUGCACUCUGUGAAACAAGAUACAGGCUAGCGGCGGACGGGUGAGUAACACGUGGGUAACCUGCCCAAGAGAUCGGGAUAACACCUGGAAACAGAUGCUAAUACCGGAUAACAACAGAUGAUGCCUAUCAACUGUUUAAAAGAUGGUUCUGCUAUCACUCUUGGAUGGACCUGCGGUGCAUUAGCUAGUUGGUAGGGUAACGGCCUACCAAGGCGAUGAUGCAUAGCCGAGUUGAGAGACUGAUCGGCCACAUUGGGACUGAGACACGGCCCAAACUCCUACGGGAGGCAGCAGUAGGGAAUCUUCCACAAUGGACGCAAGUCUGAUGGAGCAACGCCGCGUGAGUGAAGAAGGGUUUCGGCUCGUAAAGCUCUGUUGUUGGUGAAGAAGGACAUGGGUAGUAACUGACCUUUGUUUGACGGUAAUCAAUUAGAAAGUCACGGCUAACUACGUGCCAGCAGCCGCGGCAAUACGUAGGUGGCAAGCGUUGUCCGGAUUUAUUGGGCGUAAAGCGAGUGCAGGCGGUUCGAUAAGUCUGAUGUGAAAGCCUUCGGCUCAACCGGAGAAUUGCAUCAGAAACUGUCGAGCUUGAGUACAGAAGAGGAGAGUGGAACUCCAUGUGUAGCGGUGAAAUGCGUAGAUAUAUGGAAGAACACCGGUGGCGAAGGCGGCUCUCUGGUCUGUUACUGAC
rnacentral:rRNA from 1 species